AGAGUUUGAUCAUGGCUCAGAAUCAACGCUGGCGGCGUGCCUAACACAUGCAAGUCGAACGCGAAAGUGGAGCAAUCCAUGAGUAGAGUGGCAAACGGGUGAGUAACACGUGGGUGACCUGCCUUCGAGUGGGGGAUAACGUCCCGAAAGGGACGCUAAUACCGCAUAACAUGCUGUCUUUUAAGAGAUGGACAUCAAAGCCGGGGACCGCAAGGCCUGGCGCUUGAAGAGGGGCCCGCGCCUGAUUAGCUAGUUGGUGGGGUAAUGGCUCACCAAGGCAACGAUCAGUAUCCGGCCUGAGAGGGCGGACGGACACACUGGGACUGAGACACGGCCCAGACUCCUACGGGAGGCAGCAGUGGGGAAUUGUUCGCAAUGGGCGCAAGCCUGACGACGCAACGCCGCGUGGAGGAUGAAGACCUUCGGGUCGUAAACUCCUUUCGAUCGAGACGAACGGCCCUUGGGAUAACACCCUGAGGGAGUGACGGUACCGAGAGAAGAAGCCCCGGCUAACUCCGUGCCAGCCGCCGCGGUAAUAC
rnacentral:rRNA from 1 species